ACCAGGCUUAACCUUCAAAACCAUCAACACAGAGCACGUGUUGUCGAGCGGGUAGUCAUUGAACGAGGGUAAUGAUUUAAAGCAGGGUAGUUGAAAGUGUAGUCAACGGGUAGAUUAGUCAAGUUCUCGCUGGAUAUAAAAUAUGGAGCAAUGUCAAAAUAAAGUAGUUCUAGCCUAGAGCUCAACCAUCCAACAUGUUCUUGUUCAACCAUCUUUCAGAACCUUAGGCCAAAAGAAUUUACAGAAUGCGUCGGUCACAUGCGACUUUUGUCUUGGCUUUUACUGGGGUCUCUGACCCAUACUGCACUAAUGAAUAAACGUGGCGGAAACAUCGGACACCAUGGAUCGACAGUUCAUUAUUACCUUCAACAUCCUGUCAAUACUGUUACCCAACCUGUACCACAAGAAUCCAGCUGUCACAUUGCAGAUCACAUUCAAGUCAUAUUUGCUGGAUUUGCUGAACAAUCUAAAACAUCUGUGUUACACAUGUCCUCACUGUUUCAUGCCUUCACAUUGUGUCAACUAUGGACUCUUUACCUGGAACAAAUUGCCUGUGCAACAACGCCAUCUACAGAAUCUCAUAACGUCACGAUGGCAAUCUUAUUUGAAUUCUGGGCUAAAGUAACACCAUGUAUAUUGCAGUUGGUUUCGCAUUCCAAGACAUACAACUGUUCUAGCACCAUGCACAGCGCUAGAACCAUACAAGCAACUCGGUACAAUCGCUGUAUCUGUUCCGGCCUGUUUCACCGUUGUACAUCGAGAUGAAGAAUAGAAGGUGGGAAGAUUCACGGGUUUUGGUUGUGUUGAACUUUGAUUGUGUUAGUAGCCUGGAAGAUAGGAAGUUCACAUACCAGGCAUACCAGUCA